rnacentral:lncRNA from 1 species
UGGGCUCCAGCGUUCCUUAGUCCUCAGCCUCCGAAAGUGCUAGGAUUACAGGCAUGAGCCACUGCACCCAGCCUCACAGAGCUCCUAAAUUAUAAGAGUGGGGAUUUGAACCCAGAUGAGAAAACUGAGGCACAUAGGGUUAAGUAGAUUGUCCAAGGUCACUGCUGAUAACUGCAGCACUGGGAUUUGAAGCACUGAACUCUGCUGACUCCUGAGAAGGCAGCCUUGACCUGGAGCCCUACAAUCCUCAUGAGCAGUCUGAAUUUUAUUCCAAGUGCAGUAGGAAGCCAUCAGAUGAUUUUAAAUGGAGAAGUAAGACACUUGGAUCUGUGCCUAAAAGAAUCACUCUGCUGUUGAGUUCCUGAGAAGCAGACUCUGAGAUAGAGAUCAUUUUGUGGGAAGCUUAUUGGGAGGUGCUCUUGGGAUCCACACCUGUAGAAGGACUGGCUCUUUAAGAUCCAAAGGAGAAGCCAACCAAAUGAAAGCAUUCUUGGCAACCAGGUAUUCCUGACCAGUCCCCGGCUCUCUGACAAGCUGUGUCACAAUAUUGAUCCAGUGAUUAAAUUUCAUGCUGAACUGACUCAAGUCCUAAAUAAUGUCCCUGUUAGAGAGCUACUGUCUGAGAGGCUGACUCCACAUGCCUGGUGGUUCAUUAGUGCCUCAAGAGGCAGACGAGAGCCAAGGAAGUGAAAGGAGGUCGUGGUUUCUGCACUUUGUGUCCUGCAAGAGGGGCUCUUGUUUGGGUAACAAAAAAGGCACUGGAUUGAGGCUUCAAAAACUGAGCUUCCAGACAUGAGUAGCAAGUCACUUUGUGACUAUGCGCAAGGUAUUUCCUUUCUGAGCCUUUGCCACCCCAAACACAAGCCAGUUUGGCAGGGAGGAGGGGUGGACUCGAUGGUCCUUGAAGAUUCACAACAGCUGCUCUUUAUGGAGGGCUUCUGAUGUGCUAAGCACUCUACAUGAAUUAUCUCCUUUAAUUCCUACCAGAAUCCUUUGAGGUGAGCAUUAUUAUGCCCAUUUUAUAAUUGAGGAAACUAAGCCUCAGAGAGGUUAAGUAACUUGCUCCAGGUAACACAGCUACUAAACGUUGGAAGCAUUUAAAUGCCAGCAGUGGAGCCUACAGUAUUUCAGAUUUCUUAUAUUUAUUAACCGUACAACUUGGGGGAAGAUUAUUUAUCCAUAGUCAUAUACAGUUAGAUCUGCAACUCCAGCAGAGUCAGUCUGACUCCCAGCCUCUCUCCUAACCUCUGGCUGUCUUGAUCUUGGGCUGGAAUCGAGUGUGAGGCUCUGUAGAAUUGACUUUGGCAUUAUCUCAAGGGAACCAGAGUUUGGGGCAGGCAUAGGGGAAUGAGACUUGAUCCUGACAAGACUGCAACAGCUUUAUUGACAAAUCUCAUCCUGACAAAAAGCCAGAUCUCAUCCUGCCUCAGGGGCCUUUCAGCCUCCACUCCUUGCAUUCUCUGCAGCAGAGACAGCCAGUCCUGGGGCUCAAACAUGCAGCCAAGGCAAACGCCAUCUCCUCCUUCCCAGCACAGCGAGGUAUGGUGGGCAGCAGAGGGGCAUCCCUGAGCACCUUCUCACC